rnacentral:rRNA from 1 species
UCUGCCGGAUAAUGGCUGAACGCCUCUAAGUCAGAAUCCGGGCUAGAGCGACGCGUGCGCCCGCCGCCCGAUUGCCGACCUGCAGUAGGGACCUCCCGGUCCCCAGAGGCACGUGUCUUUGGUGAAGCCCCCGCGGCGGAAGAGCCGCGAGGGCCGCCUUGAAUCGUAAUUCCCACCGAGCGGCGGGUAGAAUCCUUUGCAGACGACUUAAAUACGCGACGGGGUAUUGUAAGUGGCAGAGUG